rnacentral:rRNA from 1 species
UGCCAGCCGCCGCGGUAAUACGGAGGGUGCAAGCGUUAUUCGGAAUUAUUGGGCGUAAAGGGCGCGUAGGCGGUCUUGUCAGUCAGAUGUGAAAGCCCGGGGCUCAACCCUGGAAGUGCAUUUGAAACAGCAAGACUUGAAUACUGGAGAGGAAAGCGGAAUUCCUGGUGUAGAGGUGGAAUUCGUAGAUAUCAGGAGGAACACCGAUGGCGAAGGCAGCUUUCUGGACAGAUAUUGACGCUGAGGCGCGAAGGCGUGGGUAGCGAACGGGAUUAGAUA